GUCUACGGCCAUGCUACCCUGAACAAGCCCGAUAUCUGAUCUCAGAAGCUAAGUAGGGUCAGGCCUUGUUAGUACUUGGAUGGGAGACCAGGUGCUGUGGCAU
rnacentral:rRNA from 1 species